rnacentral:rRNA from 1 species
GAUGAACGCUGGCGGCGUGCCUAAUACAUGCAAGUCGAGCGAACAGACGAGGAGCUUGCUCCUCUGACGUUAGCGGCGGACGGGUGAGUAACACGUGGAUAACCUACCUAUAAGACUGGGAUAACUUCGGGAAACCGGAGCUAAUACCGGAUAAUAUAUUGAACCGCAUGGUUCAAUAGUGAAAGACGGUUUUGCUGUCACUUAUAGAUGGAUCCGCGCCGCAUUAGCUAGUUGGUAAGGUAACGGCUUACCAAGGCGACGAUGCGUAGCCGACCUGAGAGGGUGAUCGGCCACACUGGAACUGAGGCACGGUCCAGACUCCUACGGGAGGCGGCAGUAGGGAAUCUUCCGCAAUGGGCGAAAGCCUGACGGAGCAACGCCGCGUGAGUGAUGAAGGUCUUCGGAUCGUAAAACUCUGUUAUUAGGGAAGAACAAAUGUGUAAGUAACUAUGCACGUCUUGACGGUACCUAAUCAGAAAGCCACGGCUAACUACGUG